rnacentral:rRNA from 1 species
CCUACGGGUGGCAGCAGUGAGGAAUAUUGGUCAAUGGGCUUACGCCUGAACCAGCCAAGUCGCGUGAGGGAAGACUGCCCUAUGGGUUGUAAACCUCUUUUGUCAGGGAGCAACGCCGGCUACGUGUAGCCGGACUGAGAGUAUCUGAAGAAAAAGCAUCGGCUAACACCGUGCCAGCAGCCGCGGUAAUACGGGGGAUGCGAGCGUGAUCCGAAUUUAUUGGGUUUAAAGGGUGCGUAGGCGGAAUGCCAAGUCAGCGGUAAAAUCGCGGGGCUAAACCUCGGUCCGCCGUUGAAACUGGCGGUCUUGAGUGGGCGAGAGGUAUGCGGAAUGCGUGGUGUAGCGGUGAAAUGCAUAGAUAUCACGCAGAACUCCGAUUGCGAAGGCAGCAUACCGGCGUCCAACUGACGCUGAGGCACGAAAGCGUGGGUAUCGAACAGGAUUAGAUACCCCAGUAGUC